GGUGCAGAGAACAAUUCUGUGAUCAUUUUUGAAAUCCAAGAGGGCUGCCGCAAACAAUAAUGUUUUCAGCAAUAUGGAUAUCGUGUCCGAGGUUCUCGAGGGUGCAGAAAAUAAUUUUGGGAUCAUUUUUAAAUCCGAGAUGGCCGCCGUGCAAGAUUAUGAUCACAAAAAUAUGGGUAUCGUAUCCGAGGUUCUCGAGGGUGCAGAA